AGUUGUUGUGGCGGCCUUGUUGGCCCUCACUGUUUCUUUUCCUUUAUGUGUUAGUUGUUUCGCUCGGUUAAGUGAGGUACUGGGUCUCUGUUUCGCCUCCGCUAGAUUGGGGCGUGACACGUGAACCCACCUACGGUCCGUGGGUAGGUUCCGUGAGUGAUACCUGUAGUAUAGCUAAUUAAUUUUAGUUAAAGUUAAGAGAGGG
rnacentral:lncRNA from 1 species